rnacentral:rRNA from 1 species
GCAGUCGAGGGGUAUAGUUCUUCGGAACUAGAGACCGGCGCACGGGUGCGUAACGCGUAUGCAAUCUACCUUUUACAGAGGGAUAGCCCAGAGAAAUUUGGAUUAAUACCUCAUAGUAUAUAGCCCUGGCAUCAGGAUUAUAUUAAAGUCACAACGGUAAAAGAUGAGCAUGCGUCCCAUUAGCUAGUUGGUAAGGUAACGGCUUACCAAGGCUACGAUGGGUAGGGGUCCUGAGAGGGAGAUCCCCCACACUGGUACUGAGACACGGACCAGACUCCUACGGGAGGCAGCAGUGAGGAAUAUUGGACAAUGGGCGCAAGCCUGAUCCAGCCAUGCCGCGUGCAGGAUGACGGUCCUAUGGAUUGUAAACUGCUUUUAUACGAGAAGAAACACUCCUUCGUGAAGGAGCUUGACGGUAUCGUAAGAAUAAGGAUCGGCUAACUCCGUGCCAGCAGCCGCGGUAAUACGGAGGAUCCAAGCGUUAUCCGGAAUCAUUGGGUUUAAAGGGUCCGUAGGCGGUUUAAUAAGUCAGUGGUGAAAGCCCAUCGCUCAACGGUGGAACGGCCAUUGAUACUGUUAGACUUGAAUUAUUAGGAAGUAACUAGAAUAUGUAGUGUAGCGGUGAAAUGCUUAGAGAUUACAUGGAAUACCAAUUGCGAAGGCAGGUUACUACUAAUUGAUUGACGCUGAUGGACGAAAGCGUGGGUAGCGAACAGGAUUAGAUACCCUGGUAGUCCACGCCGUAAACGAUGGAUACUAGCUGUUGGAAGCAAGUUCAGUGGCUAAGCGAAAGUGAUAAGUAUCCCACCUGGGGAGUACGUUCGCAAGAAUGAAACUCAAAGGAAUUGACGGGGGCCCGCACAAGCGGUGGAGCAUGUGGUUUAAUUCGAUGAUACGCGAGGAACC